ACACGGUGUAAUGCCCAGUACGGCGAGUGAAGCGGCAACAGCUCAAAUUUGAAAUCUGGCCCCUAGGGUCCGAGUUGUAAUUUGCAGAGGAUGCUUUUGACAAGGUGCCUUCCGAGUUCCCUGGAACGGGACGCCAUAGAGGGUGAGAGCCCCGUCUGGUCGGAUACCGCGUCUCUGUAAAGCUCCUUCGACGAGUCGAGUUGUUUGGGAAUA
rnacentral:rRNA from 1 species